CAAGCGUGCCCCGACUGUCAAAAUCGUCAAAGCCAAAGCUGUGCCUCACUAGUGGGCUUUCGCAAUAAGAUUUUGAAGGGUCUGGGCGUAUACAGACAAGAAGCAAGCAGCAAACGAGAGACUGGAAUGGAAGCCGCAAACAAGAAAGUUGCUGCAGCCCAUAUAGGGCUCCAGUGAUGAACAUGGCUGCCCAGGAAAACAUAUCUUUGUGUUGAAGGCGGUCUGUGCAUAUUUUAAUGAAGACUAUGAGGUCUGCACCUCGUUCCACACUCACAAAGCUGGCCAGACAGCUGUGGAGUGAGGGCCCCCAACACCAUGCCUCUGCUAUUGGGUCAUCACUACUACACUUCUCAGGCAUUGUUCUUCCCUUGGACAAUGACGAAACGCUAACUAGCUGCGAAAAAGCACUGAAAGAGGAACAAAGCACCCCAAUGGUAAUCAAGCUUAAGUAGCAUACCUGUUUGCGUUCUAUCACUCAUCUGCGAACUGGGGUAAAGUUGAAAGGAGCCAUUCCAAGCUGCUGUGCUGGAGAAAGCUACUGCACUGUACAUUUCAGUGAAUAUAUUGCUUUAUGAACACAUAA